AGAGACUUAGGAUAAACUAAACCAAGGGCCUUCAAAGCCCUAAAUAAGAGCUACCCUCUUAGUCUCUG
rnacentral:tRNA from 1 species